NACCUCGCGACAGGGGCAAUAUAGCAGCAAGUGACGGUUAACUGAUGCGCUAUUAUUGCUAGUUGAAAACUACUUCAAUAAGUGGAAACGACGCUUGCGUCGGGUCCCAAUUUCUGGAAGGUCGUAUGACCUACU
rnacentral:snRNA from 1 species